rnacentral:rRNA from 2 species
UUUUAGGAGCUAGCCGUCGAAGGUGGGACAAAUGAUUGGGGUGAAGUCGUAACAAGGUAGCCGUAUCGGAAGGUGCGGCUGGAUCACCUCCUUUCUAAGGA